GACACUGCCUGCUGGAGUCCAGGAAUAGGGGUGCAAGGAGACAGUCACUGCCUGCUGGAGUCCAGGAAUAGGGGUGCAAGGAGAGUCACUGCCUGCUGGAGUCCAGGAAUAGGGGUGCAAGGAGACAGUCACUGCCUACUGGAGUCCAGGAAUAGGGGUGCAGGGAGCCAGACACUUCCUGCUGGAGUCCAGGAACAGGGGUGCAAGGAGGCAGUCAUUUCCUGCUGGAGUCCAGAAAUAGGGGUGCAAGGAGAUAGUCACUGCCUGCUGGGGUCCAGGCUUGGGGGCACAAGGAGCCAGUCACUGCCUGCUGGGGUCCAGAUAUCGGGGUGCAGGGAGGAAGUCACUGCCAGCUGGGAUCCAGAUAUCGGGGUGCGGGGAGCCAGUCACGGGGUGCAUGGGGUCCAGAUAUCGGGGUGCAGGGAGCCAGUCACUGCCAGCUGGGGUCCAGAUAUCGGGGUGCAGGGAGCCAGUCACUGCCUGCAGGGGUCCAGAUAUCGGGGUGCAGGGAGUCCCCAGUCCGCUCAGCAUGGAGUGCACUCACUCUCUGCCUGCUGGCUGCCGGGAGGGGAGGAGGACUGAUGUCAUGUAAUGUAUGCACAGGGCAGUGCCAGCCUCCCCCUCCCCCCGGGCAUGGAUUACUGGGGUACAGCUCCAGUCUGGGGGUACAGCUCCGGCAUGGACUGCUGAGGUACAGGAGGGCUGUUCCAGUUUGGGGGUACAAUGGAAUGCUCCAAUUUGGGGUACAGGAGAGAUGCUUUAGUGUGG